AAUGACAAUGGUUUCCUUCUUAGAGAAUUAGAAUUUGAAAUUAAACUUAAGGAGUUAAAGGUUGAGAAACUAGAGUUGAAAGUUAAGAGAUUAGAUGUUGAGAGACAAAAGGAGGAGGAAAGAAGAGAUAAAGAGGAAAAAGAGAGAAAAGAAGAAGAGAAAAAGAGAAAUAGAAGAAGAGAGAAAGAAAAGAGAGACAGAGAGAAGAGAAUAGGGAAAGAAAAGAGAAGAAGAAAAGAAGAAAGAAGAGGAACAUAAGGAGAAGGAACUCUUGCUACCAAUGGCAAACCCUACUCCUACUAAAACAAUGGAACCUAAAAGGGAAGGGUUCUCACUCUUUACUUCUUUUCCAAUUAUUUUGCACUCUUCCAUUAUUAUUUUUUCUUUAAAAACAAUUGUCAUUCCAUAUUCUUUGCAAUCCCUUUCAAAACAUGGCAAUUCAAAUCUUGAGUUAAUGUUACCCUUGUGUAAACAAGUAACUCAAAAUAAAAAUCAAAUAACUUAGGAAUAUGGAAUUCUCCAUUUUUCCAAGACUAAUUUUCAGAAAAUAUUUUUCAAUACAAG
rnacentral:lncRNA from 1 species